GAGGCCCAGGUAGAGGAAGAGAAGGAGGAAGAGGUAGAGAAGGACCUGAAGAGUUGAUAGGACCUGAACAAAGAAAACACUUAUUGACCAUGUUAUCAACCAUGGACUGAAACUGAUGGAAGCUGGACAAAGUGUUCAACCAAAUCUCAGCAGAAAUACUGUUGCGUCAGUAAUUCGGACAUUUCCUCGAGAAAAAAGGAUUGAGGGUCGAGGACACCAAGGUGGAAGGGGCCCCAUGUUCACUCGUGCACAAGAGGACGUCAUUGUGAACAUGGUUUUGACCAAUAAUUGUAUCAGGCUGCGAGAAAUCCAAGCCAAUAUUAUCAAUGAUGACCAUAUUUGCAAUAACAUCCAACGAGUCUCUCUGUCAACAUUAGGUCGAAUCCUCAAGAAAAAUCAAAUAUACAUGAAGCAACUGUAUCGGGUACCAUUUGACAGAAAUUCACAGAGUGAAACAUCUGCGCAAUGAGUAUGUGGAGAGAGUCCAGCAUAAAUUCAACAUGAAUUUAUAUAUGUGGAUGAGGCUGGAUUUAACCUUGCGAAAACAAGAAGAGGGAGAAAUGUAAUUGGACACAGGGCAAUCACCAAUGUGCCAGGGCAGCGAGGGGGUAACAUCACCCUUUACACUGCUAUUACACAAAAUGGGGUCCUCCACCACUAUGCAAAUGUGGGACCCUAUAAUGCAAAUCUAAUACUUGCAUUUCUUGACAGAUUGCACAAGAUUGUCACAGCAUUAAACCAAGUGGACCAGAUGCGGUACAUUGUCGUUUGGGACAAUGUCUCAUUCCACCGGGCUGCUCUGGUCCAGAAUUGGUUCCAUGAGCACCCUGAAUUUGAAGUCUUAUACCUUCCCCCUUCCUCAAUCCAAUAGUUUUUUUUUUCAGCAUGGCGGUGGAAGGUAUACGAUCUGCGGCCCUAUGACCGUUUGCCCCUCAUUCAGGCCACGGAGCAGGCCUGUGAUCAUAUCGAAGCAGCUUCUGUGCAGGCGUGGGUUCGUCACACGAGGCGACUCUUCCAACGGUACCUUGCCAAUGAAGACAAUCUGUGAUGUGGAUGAAAUCUUAUGGACUGAUCCAGACAGGGAUGAUGAAUAGUUAGUUUUCUUGUUGCUUUUACAGUCAAAGUGCAUGUACUUCAUGCAGUAAUUUUUAUUUGUCAACAGAUUUUAUUUGUUUCAUUGUUGGAUUACUGUAACUGAUUAUGGUAAGAAAUACUGUAAGUAUUGAAAUAAAUACUUGGAAUAUUCAGUCUGCAGCAUCAGUGUUGUGCAGUGCUUGGUAAGUUUAUAGUAGGCCUCUGUGUACAUUCUCCCUAUAUCUCAAACUAAUCAUGAAGAAUGUUGUGGGUUUGUCACUUUUUUUCAUCUAAAUUAGCCCUUGCAUAACAAUGUCUGGCCAAAAAUCUAGCACAUGCCAUUUCCUAGAAUUAGUUCUUUUUUUUUACAAGUGUGUUUUUAUUUAUCACAGCAGUGUGAAACUGGCUGCAAUGGUGUCUGAUCAUUGAGAACUGUGUUGGUUAAAUGAAAACAAUUGCAUUUUCA